rnacentral:ribozyme from 1 species
AGCAAUACCUCGCUGAUACGGGGGUGGAUCCGAAGCCUCUAGAAGGUUAACACAGGCUCUCCACCUCCUACUCUUACUCAAAUCCCCGUCGUACAGAACGGUAACAUGUUUCUCAAUUAUCCAAGCUUGGGUAUACGGGGAAACCCAACCCCUUGGGUUAACGGGUUGCAUGGCUAAAUUGAGACGG